rnacentral:rRNA from 1 species
AGUAAUGUCUGGGGAUCUGCCCGAUAGAGGGGGAUAACCACUGGAAACGGUGGCUAAUACCGCAUAACGUCGCAAGACCAAAGAGGGGGACCUUCGGGCCUCUCACUAUCGGAUGAACCCAGAUGGGAUUAGCUAGUAGGCGGGGUAAUGGCCCACCUAGGCGACGAUCCCUAGCUGGUCUGAGAGGAUGACCAGCCACACUGGAACUGAGACACGGUCCAGACUCCUACGGGAGGCAGCAGUGGGGAAUAUUGCACAAUGGGCGCAAGCCUGAUGCAGCCAUGCCGCGUGUAUGAAGAAGGCCUUCGGGUUGUAAAGUACUUUCAGCGGGGAGGAAGGCAGUGAGGUUAAUAACCUUACUGAUUGACGUUACCCGCAGAAGAAGCACCGGCUAACUCCGUGCCAGCAGCCGCGGUAAUACGGAGGGUGCAAGCGUUAAUCGGAAUUACUGGGCGUAAAGCGCAUGCAGGCGGUCUGUUAAGUCAGAUGUGAAAUCCCCGGGCUUAACCUGGGAACUGCAUUUGAAACUGGCAGGCUUGAG